CACACACAACACACCACAGUAGUGGGUAUUCGUGCAUUCUGGAUCAACCUUCGGUUGAUCCAGAAUACACGAAUACGACAUGGCUCCUCGCCUAAAAAAAAAAAAAAAAAAAAAAAAAAAAAG